AUGAAGUAGCAGGGCUCAGCAAUUCUUUCAAUUCCAGUGCACACCCAAUAGUGUGUUGGAAGAAUGCACAGUGUUCGGGAUUUGUGGGAGAAUUGUCCCACGACAAAGGAGGCAGAGUCACGCUUGUUAUAGUCCAAUAAGCCGUGCCAGUCAAACAAGAACCCACACUAGCGACAAAAGGCCAGCAAGAGAUUCUCACACAAAAGAAAACAAGGAAGCCCAUCUUUCAGUUGUGCAUCAGGCUCUGGGUUUUAUGCUUCACAUAAAUACAAACGGAGAGGAAAAAAUAAACAGCCCCAAAGAUUUCUGUUAACUAGAAAUCCUAUUUAGAUUUCACUAUGUUCCUCACAUUCAGGGAUUUAAAACCAAGAACAGAAGCCAUAGCUCAAGGCGGGGGUGGGUCCUCCCCUCUCAAAUGAGGGUAAUAAUGGUGAUAAAUAGGCAUUAACUAUGAAACCAAAAGGAAUCAGUGACUUCAGAUUCCAUUUCAAUCAACUUAAGACACAUUCGAAUGGGGUAGGAGCCCUCGAAGAUAUUAACCUACUAUAUAACCAGUAUCUCCCAGCCUCUGAGGGGUGACCUUGGGGAGGAGAACUCCAGUUUAGAAAGUAAAUAUGAAAUCUUGAACACGGGCCUUCAAGAAGGCGCCAACAGGGAGCUGUCCAACAGAAAACUAAUGGCAGCUACAUACAUAAUUCUGAAUUUUCUAGUAGCUACAUUAAAAGAGUAAAGUGAAACAGGUGAAUUUAAUGUUUAUUCAACCCAAUAUAUCCGAAAUAGUAUCAUUUCAACAUGUAAUCAGUAUCAAAAAUUACUGAGAUAACUUGCAGUCUUUUUUUGGGGGUGGGGGUACGGGGUUGCUACGAAGUCUUCAAAAUCCCAUGUGUAUUUUACACUUCCAGCACAUCUCAGUUUCCACUUGCUGCAUUUCUGGGGCUCAGUGGCCACAUCUGGCAGGUGGCCACAGCCAGAGGAAAGCACAGGUCCAACCUAUCUACAUGCAUUAAGGUGAGCAGUUUCCUCAGGUGUUACAACUACUCGGCAUAUUGCCACAGUAGCAGCCUUGGCCUUAGAGGUAAUCCCAGGUGUGGCAUCAAAAUCACCACUGUCCACAUGAGCUUACCAUGCAUCCAGCAUCUACGUGUCACAGGCCCUCUGCCCUGGAGUGGCACAAUGGAGUGUUACUUUAUUCAGCAGAGAUCUGCAGAAUCAUAGCAACUCCUAAAUAAAAUCUCGCCUCCCCCCCACUUUAACAAUUAAAACAAUCAUAGUAUAAUUAGGCGCAUUUCAAAGUUUUCUUAAGUAAUUUGACAUGCCAGGUUUUUAUUGGCUGAAAAGUCUGUCAUGAAACCCAAACACACCUGUCAGCAAUUUAAAAAGGACAACUAGAGAACUGUUCAGGAAAUAAUAUCUGUGCUAAUUAAAACCACUAGUUAAAAGCUUCCUGUUUAUUCCUCUGUUUGCCCUAAGGAGUGACCUUUACCUCUCCUCCUCUAGGUUCAGUUUUUCAUUUGUGGCUAAUGUGCUUUCGUAAUCCAUGAUGGCUUCCAACGAACCUGGUCGUUUUCCAGAGGAAAUUGCAAAGAUGACCCUGGAUGCAACAGAAGCAAUGAGAAAGGAAGCUGUGUGGCCGAACCGAGAUUUGAGAACACUUAAGUGGAAAGAAGGGGCUUACUUCUACCAGCCUGUUCGCUCAGCUGUGCACCAGACCCUGGCUGCUUUUCACGUCGACUCUCUCGGCGGCUUCAUUCCUUCACCGAUGCCAGGCAGGCUCACCGUGGAACCACUUGGGUUUUCUUCCCUCUUUUUGCGCCCAGUAAAUUUUCAUAAAGCAUUUAACGUGAGAACAAGCAGGUUAAUUUACCGUGCCCGUGCGCCAGGCUCUCAGAAGGCUUUCUGCAACACUGCCGUGUUUUGGCAUCGGAGUCAGAGGCCUCCGUCCCAGUGGUGAGGAUGCUUGCCAGAACCUUCUCUUUGCAGACACCAGGUGUGAUUUAGCAUAACAGAUUGUGUGGAUGCUCAGCGGCUUUGAGAAUCCAUGCAUCAGAACCCAAUUGUAUCCUUCAUGCAAGAUAAAGAUGAAAGUCUCAGGGGCUAGAAGUUCUGCCAGGAACGGCCUCUGGACGUUCAGGAAAUGGGAAAAUCACCACACCUGCAACACUGGUUUCAAGAACACUAAAAUCCUUCUUAAUGAUAUCAGUACCGUGUUAAAUCCCCUGUCAUAUCACAAUGCUGUUUUCCUCUAAUGAUAGGUAGGUAAUAAGAACCAAAGAUUUACAAAAUAUAUACAUAGAUAUACAAAAAAAUGGAAUUAUAGUUGACCCUUGAACAAUGCAGGGGUUAGGGGUGCCACUCCCCAGUGCAGUCGAAAAUCCAAGUUUUUGAUCCCUCAAAAACUUCACUAUUAAUAACCUACUGUUGACUGGAAGCCUUACUUAUAACAUAAAUAGUCGAUUAACACAUAUUUUGUAUGUUGUAUUAUAUUCUGACAAUAAAAUAAAUUACAGAAAAGAAAAUGGUAUAAAGGAAAUCAUAAGAGUGCCGGCUGAAUGGCGCAUUGGUUAAGAGCUGGCUUGGGACGCCAGCUCUGAGCAGCAGGGCCCC